rnacentral:rRNA from 1 species
AGCAGUAGCCACGGGAAUACGAGGGGGGCGAGCAUUGUUCGGAAUUAUUGGGCGUAAAGGGUGCGUAGGCGGUUCAGUAAGUCUUGUGUGAAAUCUUCGGGCUCAACUCGAAGUCUGCAUGAGAAACUGCUGGGCUUGAGUAUGGGAGAGGUGAGUGGAAUUCCUGGUGUAGCGGUGAAAUGCGUAGAUAUCGGAAGGAACACCUGUGGCGAAAGCGGCUCACUGGACCAUAACUGACGCUGAUGCACGAAAGCUAGGGGAGCAAACAGGAUUAGAUACCCCUGUAGUCCCUGUCUCUUAUAC